UACGAGGGGGGCAAGCGUUGUUCGGAAUUAUUGGGCGUAAAGGGUGCGUAGGCGGUUUGGUAAGUCUUAUGUGAAAUCUACAGGCUCAACUUGUAGUCUGCAUGAGAAACUGCCGGGCUUGAGUAUGGGAGAGGUGAGUGGAAUUCCUGGUGUAGCGGUGAAAUGCGUAGAUAUCAGGAGGAACACCUGUGGCGAAAGCGGCUCACUGGACCAUAACUGACGCUGAGGCACGAAAGCGUGGGUAGCAAACAGG
rnacentral:rRNA from 1 species